rnacentral:rRNA from 1 species
GACGAACGCUGGCGGCGUGCUUAACACAUGCAAGUCGAACGAAGUGGCGAACGGGUGAGUAACGCGUAAUCAACCUGCCCUUCAGAGGGGGACACCAGUUGGAAACGACUGCUAAUACCGCAUACGGAAGGAGGGGAUUGAGUCUGGUUAGCUAGUUGGAGGGGUAACGGCCCCCCAAGGUGAUGAUCAGUAGCCGGUCGGGGGGGAAGAACGGCAAAAUGUGGACUGAGACAAGGCCCAAGCUCCUACGGGAGGCAGCAGGGGGGAAUCUUCCGAAAUGGACGGAAGGCUGACGGAGCAACGCCGCGUGAGUGAUGACGGCCUUCGGGUUGUAAAGGUCUGUUAAUCGGGACGCGGUACCGGAAUAGAAAGCCACGGCUAACUACGUGCCAGCAGCCGCGGUAAUUC